GCGCACCAGUCGCGAAACCUCCGCAAUACACGAAAGUGUGACGGGGCCAUCCCGAGUGCCGUCCGCUGAGGACGGCUUUUCCCCAGUGUACACAGCUGGGGGAAUAAGGAGAGGGCAAGCCUGGUGUCAGCCGCCGCGGUAAUACCAGCUCUCCGAGUGGUGGGGACGCUUGUUGGGCCUAAAGCAUCCGUAGCCGGCUGGGCAAGUCCUCCGUUAAAUCCAACGAUUCAAUCGUUGGGCUGCGGGGGAUACUGUCCAGCUUGGGGGCGGGAGAGGCCGACGGUAUUCCCGGGGUAGGGGUGAAAUCCUAUAAUCCCGGGAGGACCACCAGUGGCGAAGGCUGUCGGCUAGAACGCGCCCGACGGUGAGGGAUGAAAGCUGGGGGGAGCGAACCGGAUUAGAUACCCCGUAGU
rnacentral:rRNA from 1 species